rnacentral:rRNA from 1 species
GACGAACGCUGGCGGCGUGCCUAAUACAUGCAAGUAGGACGCAGUUGCGAACGGGUGAGUAACGCGUAGGUAACUACCUAUUAGAGGGGGAUAACGAUUGGAAACGAUAGCUAAUACCGCAUACUAGUAGAUGGACCUGCGGUGUAUUAGUUAUUAGGUAGGGUAAUGGCCUACCUAGGCAACGAUACAUAGCCGACCUGAGUGGUUGCUCUGCACCACUGAGACUGAGACACGGCCCAGACUCCUACGGGAGGCAGCAGUAGGGAAUCGUCGGCAAUGGGGGGAACCCUCACCGAGCAACGCCGCGUGAGUGAAGAGGGUUUUCGGAUCGUAAAUCUCUGUUGUUAAGGAAGCGGUACUUAACCAGAAAGGGACGGCUAACUACGUGCCAGCAGCCGCGGUAAUAC